AUUGAACGCUGGCGGCAUGCCUUACACAUGCAAGUCGAACGGUAACGGGCCUUCGGGUGCCGACGAGUGGCGAACGGGUGAGUAAUGCAUCGGAACGUACCCAUCAGUGGGGGAUAACUCUCCGAAAGGAGGGCUAAUACCGCAUAUUCUGUGCGCAGGAAAGCGGGGGACCGCAAGGCCUCGCGCCGAUGGAGCGGCCGAUGUCAGAUUAGCUAGUUGGUGGGGUAAAGGCCUACCAAGGCGACGAUCUGUAGCGGGUCUGAGAGGAUGAUCCGCCACACUGGGACUGAGACACGGCCCAGACUCCUACGGGAGGCAGCAGUGGGGAAUUUUGGACAAUGGGGGCAACCCUGAUCCAGCCAUGCCGCGUGAGUGAAGAAGGCCUUCGGGUUGUAAAGCUCUUUCGGCCGGGAAGAAAUCGCAUCUCCUAAUACGGGGUGUGGAUGACGGUACCGGAAUAAGAAGCACCGGCUAACUACGUGCCAGCCGCCGCGGUAA
rnacentral:rRNA from 1 species